rnacentral:rRNA from 1 species
UGGGGAAUUUUGGACAAUGGGCGCAAGCCUGAUCCAGCAAUGCCGCGUGAGUGAAGAAGGCCUUCGGGUUGUAAAGCUCUUUUGUCAGGGAAGAAACGGUUGGGGCUAAUAUCUCCGGCUAAUGACGGUACCUGAAGAAUAAGCACCGGCUAACUACGUGCCAGCAGCCGCGGUAAUACGUAGGGUGCAAGCGUUAAUCGGAAUUACUGGGCGUAAAGCGUGCGCAGGCGGUUUUGUAAGUCUGACGUGAAAUCCCCGGGCUCAACCUGGGAAUUGCGUUGGAGACUGCAAGGCUGGAGUCUGGCAGAGGGGGGUAGAAUUCCACGUGUAGCAGUGAAAUGCGUAGAGAUGUGGAGGAACACCGAUGGCGAAGGCAGCCCCCUGGGUCAAGACUGACGCUCAUGCACGAAAGCGUGGGGAGCAAACA